rnacentral:misc_RNA from 1 species
ACGAUUAUGAAGUGAAAAUGCGCAAUGCCAAUCGCUUUAUCGAAGACGGUGACAAGGUUAAAUUCACCUUGCGUUUCCGUGGCCGUGAAAUGGCGCACCAAAGCCUCGGCAUGGAAUUGCUCCAGAAGGUCAAAGCCGAGAUGAUCGAACGCACCAAGGUAGAGCUGGAACCCAGACUCGAAGGGCGCCAGAUGAUCAUGAUUCUCGCUCCGAAAUAAGUAUUCUCUGGGCACAAUACUUUUUCGUCAAAAAACCCGGAUCCUAGGAUCCGGGUUUUUUAUUGGCCCGUACAAAUGGAGCCAUGUGAUUUGUGCCCUGUUUCAGGGAACA